rnacentral:rRNA from 1 species
CCCAUGUCCAGGUUGAAGCGCAGGUAAAAUUGCGUGGAGGACCGAACCUGUGAGCGUUGAAAAGCUUUAGGAUGAGAUGUGGGUAGAGGUGAAAUUCCAAUCGAACGCGGAGAUAGCUGGUUCUCCCCGAAAUAGCUUUAGGGCUAGCCUCAAGUAGUAAGUAUAGGCGGUAGAGCACUGAUCGGGCUAGGGGCCAUAAAGGUUACCGAACCCUGUCAAACUCCGAAUGGUUAUACUGUAGAGCUUGGGAGUCAGACUACGAGUGAUAAGAUCCGUGGUCAAAAGGGAAACAGCCCAGACCACCAGCUAAGGUCCCCAAUGUCGUACUAAGUGGAAAAGGAUGUGGGGUCUCUAAAACAACCAGGAUGUUGGCUUAGAAGCAGCCACCAUUUAAAGAGUGCGUAAUAGCUCACUGGUCGAGAGACCCUGCGCCGAAGAUUACCGGGGCUAAAGUACGAAACCGAAGCUGUGGCUACGACAUAUGUCGUGGGGUAGGGGAGCGUUCUGUGAGGGCUGAAGUCGUUCUGUAAGGAACGGUGGACUUCACAGAAGUGAGAAUGUUGGUAUGAGUAGCGAAAAGAAUGGUGAGAAUCCAUUCCACCGAAAGCAUAAGGAUUCCUGGGCAACGAUCGUCGUCCCAGGGUAAGUCGGGACCUAAUCCGAGGCAUGGAGCGUAGGAGAUGGACAACUGGCAGAUAUUCCAGUACCGGUAAUGAUUGUUUGAGCGAUGGAGUGACACAGGAGGGCAGGCAGGCAGGAGAUUGGUUGUUCCUGUACAAGCGUGUAGGAUGGGACGCAGGCAAAUCCGCGUCCUGUGAGUCUGAGGCGUGAUGUGGAGGUUCCGGAAACGGAACUGAAGCUGCUGACCCCACACUGUCGAGAAAAGCUUCUAGUUAGAGAAUUACCGCCCGUACCGUAAACCGACACAGGUAUGCGGGGAGAGAAUCCUAAGGUGCGCGGGAGAACCCUCGUUAAGGAACUCGGCAAAAUGUACCCGUAACUUCGGGAUAAGGGUAGCCGCUGUUGUGAAGUCUGAACAGACGGAGCAUGAGGCGGUCGCAGAGAAGAGGCCCAAGCGACUGUUUACCACAAACACAGGUGCCUGCUAAAGAGAAAUCUGACGUAUAGGUGCUGACACCUGCCCAGUGCCGGAAGGUUAAGGAAGGAUGUCCGGAGCAAUCCAAAGCAUUCGACCGAAGCCCCGGUGAACGGCGGCCGUAACUAUAACGGUCCUAAGGUAGCGAAAUUCCUUGUCGGGUAAGUUCCGACCCGCACGAAAGGUGUAACGAUUUGGGCACUGUCUCAACGAGGGACCCGGUGAAAUUGAAGUACCUGUGAAGAUGCAGGUUACCCGCGACUGGACAGAAAGACCCCAUGGAGCUUUACUGUAACCUGACAUUGGGUUCUGAUACAUCACGUACAGGAUAGGUGGGAGGCAUGGAAGCGAGGACGCUAGUCUUCGUGGAGCCGCCGUUGGGAUACCACCCUUGAUGUAUCGGAAUUCUAACCGUAGGAGUAACGAAACUCGGGACAGUGUCAGGCGGGCAGUUUGACUGGGGCGGUCGCCUCCCAAAGAGUAACGGAGG